rnacentral:lncRNA from 1 species
UGUUUGGGAGCACUCCACUCCACAAAAAAUUGCUCCACUCCACCAACUCCGAAAAUUUCGCAGCCAAACGCGUCUAGCUCCAGCAACUCCGGCUCCAGGAAAAAGGUGGAGCAGGGGGUAGAUCCACGUUUUUCAUGGAGUACCUCAAGAGGUGCUCCAAAAACCUCCUUUUCAGACCUCCUCAUGGAGUUGGGAUUAUUUACCCACCAUUGCCACUGGUUACACAGGUUACC